UUGGAUGACAACUAUGCUUCUUCACGUGCAUUUAUCUAUUUCUAGAAUUUACUUGAGUUUCAGUGCCCAACUUUACUCCUCAUAUUCCUAUAGUGCAUAGGGAGAAAGGCGAACCAGCCAUGGAACCUCCUCCAUCACAAUCCAUUCAAGUCUCUGGAGAUGAUACACAAGACAAGGUCAUCAACGAAUGUUGUUCUUGCUGGUAUGACUGUACACAAGGUCUCUUUGAUUUCUUGUGCUGUAACUUUUAAAACUCUUUAUUAGUGUUAUUUCAUAGGGACAUGGGUAUCGAGUUGUUACUUUUCUCUUCCCCUUAUCAGAUGAUUGAUGUAUGAUCUGAAUUAACUAAGAAAAAUCUGUGCGUUUUAAUCA